GACAUAUUAUUUGUUUUUUAUCUUCGAAAUAUCGUAAGCUGCCUGGUUAAGUAAAAUUGUGAAUUUUUCUUGUAAAGUCGCACAUUUCCCGAGCAAGUCUAGGAUAAAAUUUAACUCUCAUAGGAGCUUCCGGCGGUUCAUUCUUCUGCCCGUAGACUAGAGCCAGUUUUGAUUCCGUCGGUUGUCAAUUACUCCAAAUUCUUUCAUUUCUAUAAGCAAUUUUUGCACUACCCGUUUGUGAAAUAACUCUGCUAACUUGAUAUAGCUGCGUAAGCUGGCUGACCUUGAGAUAAUUCUCUAUUUCUUGAUCACUGUUUAUUGCCCAAGGCAGAAUUUAUUUAUACAGUUGGUUUUACAUGCAUUGUGGAAAUCAUUUUUUGUUGCAGAACAGUUUUUUUUUUUUUUAGCACAUCAAUUCGAACCGAUCUUUAAAAUUUAUAGGACAGAUUGGGUUGUGAUUUGCAAGAGAAAAACAAUUCUGUGGUUCGUUCAUCCAUGAAAUUUUUGUUAGCUACGUUUGAAAACACUAGAAUUGUGCAGAAGCUUUAUUCGACAAUGAUUGUAUUUGCUCAAGAGUUGCUUUUUCCUCACUCAAGUUGCCAUGGUUUUAGAGUAGUAUAAUUAUUUAUUUCCAAGCAGAUGCCUUUUUUGUACCAUGUCAUUCAAUCUUGAGAGGUUGAAACAAAUAGUAAACACCGAACAACACAUCCUGUCAAUACUGUGGUUAUAAAGUUGUCAGCAUGAUUGCAUGACUGGUGAAUGUUGGUUGCAUAAUGCUCUCUUCACCUUUCUUAUCUACUCUUAUUAACUGACAUCCAAAUUCUUGGUCUUUGAUUGUUGUCAAAAGCAUUGCUCCUGAGUUAUUAUGCUCAAGGACACAGUUGUGAAACUGAACAACCAAUCGUAAUGAAUCCUUGAUUGUGUUUCAGCAAUCACUUGGCUUUUCUUGUUGUGACAACAACGGUUUCACCAUUAUAUGAAGUCGUGACAAAACAUUUGCAAACAAUACCUGGAUUUGGGUCUGAUGUCCAAGUGCGUCGCUAUUUCCACUGCCUUUUCCAACCUUUGAGUUUGGUUUAGCAUGAUCAGCAUAUCUAAACACAUCAUUGAGCACGAAGUACCCCUUAUCUCACAGAGCAAGAGAAAAGGCUUGCGUAAAUAACCUUAUCCUGUUGUACUUUCCAAUUAAGAAACCAGUGACUAAAGCAAUCACCCCACGAUUGUAAGAGUCUCGAGCAUCAGUAGUCCUUGUCUCUACUUGUAGAUCUGGUAGUUCAAGAAACACAUGGUUUUGUUGAUCAUCCAUUCCAUAUUAUUUCAUUCAUUGGCAUUUCCAUUCUGCAUGCAACACUCUGAACUGGGACAGGACACUUUUUAUGGAGAGCAGGCCAAAUUGUUGGUGAUGAUUGUUGGAUCAGGAGUAACAAUGGCAAAAAUGUUGUGGUGGAAUCUGAAUUUCAAUCAAUGUGAACCUCAUUUCUGCAGGAUCACGAUUAACUGCUUCAACUUUCCAACAUGACAGACUGAAGGAGUUGUAUGCGCCAUUUUUAAGUUCAGAAACGAAGUUGGGGCAAUGAAAGUUAUGCCUGCUCAUUUUUUAAUUAUUGCAGCUACAAAAUCUGGAAAUCCACCUGUUGAUUCGGCCAGCCCAGGCUUUUCUGCCUCUAGCAGCAUUUCUGGCCCAGGAAGUAAAGGUGCAUGUGACAAAGAUUUGGGAAUACACACUUGCGGAAUUUGAAAGUCAACUCCUUUUGAAUGUCUGUAUAUGGCAUACUUGACUCAUUGUCAGUUUUAUGCUUCUCUCCGACAAGGCCAAUAAGUUUGAGAUCACCUGGUUUUGCUUUUUAAAAGUUGAAGGCCACUCCUUUCAUGCAGUCAAUUUUCCCUGCAGAGUUAUUGCUGAUACGAUUGAGUCAGAAUUCAAGAGAACUGAACCAAUAAAAACCAAAUGGCCUCCUGGUCAAAAGUCCAGGGUUGGUCUUACUCAUGAUGGUAAAGGACUGUUUUAAGCUGUGUUUGUAUUCUGAUUUAACAGGAAAGGUGAUUUGGUGUUGUUGUUGAAUUUCAAGAUUUAAGCUCCACAGAAAGUGCGCUUCAGCCUUUUUGUUCAAACAUUGCUCAUCACUACUGGGGGUCAUCAAGCUGUAACUGUCACGAGAAGCAGCACGAGUGAAUGUAGCAGGACGACCUCUACUCUGCAAGCUUUUCUUUUUGUAUCUGGAAGAAUUUGACAUUCUGUCUUGAUGAAAGAAAAUAAAAACGUGACAGUGUAAAUUUAGUGUGAUGUUAAUCAUGCACUUUGACUUAUUUAAAACUUUUGAGGUGUUCACAACGCAAAGAUGAUGUGUUACAUGUUUCUGAAGCUCAAUUUUCUAGCAUGUCAACACAAGAACUUUAGGGGACGUGGGAACUUCUUGGUGGACAUCUUUGAGGGAGAA